UAGUUGUAUGAAACAAGAGGAGGGUAGCAGUUCCCUUAAUAAGGAAAGUCACGGUCCCAGGGUUCUGUAGAACACACAUAUGGUUAAGGCAUUGUCACUUACUGUGUCGCAUAUAACCAAGUAAUUUU
rnacentral:ncRNA from 11 species